AUUGAACGCUGGCGGCAGGCCUAACACAUGCAAGUCGAACGGUAACAGGAAGAAGCUUGCUUCUUUGCUGACGAGUGGCGGACGGGUGAGUAAUGUCUGGGAAACUGCCUGAUGGAGGGGGAUAACUACUGGAAACGGUAGCUAAUACCGCAUAACGUCGCAAGACCAAAGAGGGGGACCUUCGGGCCUCUUGCCAUCGGAUGUGCCCAGAUGGGAUUAGCUAGUAGGUGGGGUAACGGCUCACCUAGGCGACGAUCCCUAGCUGGUCUGAGAGGAUGACCAGGCACACUGGGACUGAAGAACGGGCCAAACUCCUACGGGAGGCAGCAGUGGGGAAUAUUUGACCAUGGGCGCAAGCCUGAUGGAGCCAUGGCGCGUGUAUGAAGAAGGCCUUCGGGUUUUAAAGUACCUUCAGCGGGGAGGAAGGGAGUAAAGUUAAUACCUUUACUCAUUGACGUUACCCGCAGAAGAAGCACCGGCUAACUCCGUG
rnacentral:rRNA from 1 species